UGGCUUCCCGCCCCACCCCCUGCCUCCAGAACAACGGGUUCCCGCUGCUGCCCCCUGCCGCCCACAGCACCCCGCGCCCCCGCCGGGCUCCGAGAGGGGCGUCUGGGGAGCCGCUGCUGCUGGGGCCGUGGGAACCGGAGCGGAGAUACACCAGAACUGACCGGUUUCCUGUUAGAAAACUUCAGUUACUUUAGAGAAGCCGGUUUCUCUAGCUUAGUGACCUCACUUCUACUUUAAACCGAGUAAUGAUCUUGGGGGAAGCAGUUGGUUGAUAAGACGAAGAGCAACACCACGUUACUUUGCUCUGACUCAAAGGAAAUUAAACAAAAUACUGAUUGUGAGAACUUUUAAAGGGCUACCAACAGAAGGAAGGAACUCGGGUUUUUGGAGUGAUACCUUUUUUCCCCCGUAUGUACACAAAGAUGUACAUACGAGUUUGUUACAGCGGCAUAUUUGCUCGUAAGCUUACUUGAGUUUGUGGUUUAAAAAACCUCGUGAACUUUUCAAAAGAGAGGCGUUUGUUUCCGAAUCCAACAGAAAAAAAACAAUUCGAAAGAGCUGAAAAAGUUCAUUUAGAAUAGCAGUCACAUUUCAACAUUUUCCAUAUUUUGCAAUAUUAAGCUGUGAGCAUUUGUGCCAAAUUUUAAGGCAAGAAUUCUUACUGCCAAAUUACAAAUUUCUCAAGAUGAGGGGUGAUCAACCAAAUUGCUGCCAGACCCCAUAAACAGGCACUAACAGCACUGCUAUAAUUACACCUUAUUAUCUCCCUCGCAGCCUUAUUUGAUUCACUGCUGGAUAAAAUCCUCAUCCUGGGUGUUACUAACUGGCCUCAUGCCUCCGUUCGUCCAACGAGCAGUGUAACCCAUCACCCUCUAUUCCAUCUCUAGUCUGUCUCUUCCCUAAAUGCAACACAAUCAGGAAGUCCUCUAUGUGACCAAGUCCUGGGCCAUAUUUUUCCCUCUGGAACUCCAGUAAAGUGAAAUUUGUUGAGAUCUACUUCGGGAAAGCAUCCCCAAAUCAGAUUACCCUCUUGGAAGCCAGCCUCAGACUGUCAGCAUAUGCACUGUAAGUGCUAACCAGGACAGACAAUCCAACCUCACUGGAUAGUAAUGUUUUACAUUACUACUUCAAAUUAUAAAGAAGCAAGAUGGUUAAAGAUGGUAAAAUUCUCUGACGUUGGACAAGGUAGAAACCAGGAGGUAAAAUGGGAAGAGUGACAGCAAUGGAAGGAAGCUGAGAGAGAAUAAAUGUAACAUAUGUGCACAUGGAGAGAUCAGUAUCACACUGCGAAGAAUGCCGAUCAAGGUCAUGCAGAAGAGAAGUAUGUGAGUGUGUUAUGACAGAAUUAGAAAAAGAGCAUAAACGUGAAAACUGAGUACUGAGUACAUGGCAAGGGGAGGUGGUGGGCAAUGAUGUUGGUUUUUUCCCAUAUGGACCUUCAAAUAAAGUACUUUUAGGCUAGAUUAAUAGAAAUACAUCAUCUGGAACAUGGAAAGAAAGAGCUCCACUUUAUCCUGUGUUAGACCACAUCUAAGUAAUGUGUUCUCUUUUAGAGGGCUAUAAUAAAGAGAAUGACCAACCAA